GGGGAGAGAGGCACAGCAAUAAUAGAAACAGAUGCAUGUCAUAUUACAAUAAUGAUAGGUGUGUAGUGAGGUAUAGCACCUGACAGUUGAGUAGCGCUUGUGAACGCACCUCCAGACUCCACUCCUCAGUAGCCACUCCCUUAAUCACAGCCAGCCUAUAUAAGGGACGAGUGAGCACAUGCUCCUUCUUUUUGGCUGCUGGUUCCUGUGUGUGGUGGCUGCUGUUUGCUGUACUGGCUGGAGGUAGCAGUGGUGUCUGAGCCUUCCUGCUGUAGUGGUCUGGUAAUCCAGGUGGUUCACGUGAUUUACUGCUGUUUUGCCCUCAUUUUGCUUCUGUUUGGUUGUUUGGUUUCCUGUUUUGCUCUUUGUAUUUUGCUCUUAGUUUUGCUUUUUUAUUCUUAUUUGCCUUUACAUCCUAUUGAGUGAUUUCUUUGAAUAUAUUAAAACUGGGUUGCUGUAUUUGUUAAUUUUGCUAUUAGCAUUUUUCUUUUAGUGAAGUGGAGCACCAUUUUGUUGGGGAGGCUAGGCACCCCGGGUGAGGUUCCUACACAUUGCACGUAAGUAAAGGCACCGGGACACGAUUGCUGUUCUUGAGAUUGCUGUGAGGAU